AUUGAACGCUAGCGGGAUGCUUUACACAUGCAAGUCGAACGGCAGCGCGGACUUCGGUCUGGCGGCGAGUGGCGAACGGGUGAGUAAUGUAUCGGAACGUGCCCAGUAGCGGGGGAUAACUACGCGAAAGCGUAGCUAAUACCGCAUACGCCCUACGGGGGAAAGCAGGGGAUCGUAAGACCUUGCACUAUUGGAGCGGCCGAUAUCGGAUUAGCUAGUUGGUGAGGUAACGGCUCACCAAGGCGACGAUCCGUAGCUGGUUUGAGAGGACGACCAGCCACACUGGGACUGAGACACGGCCCAGACUCCUACGGGAGGCAGCAGUGGGGAAUUUUGGACAAUGGGGGCAACCCUGAUCCAGCCAUCCCGCGUGUGCGAUGAAGGCCUUCGGGUUUUAAAGCACUUUUGGCAGGAAAGAAACGUCGCGGGCUAAUACCCCGUGGAACUGACGGUACCUGCAGAAUAAGCACCGGCUAACUACGUG
rnacentral:rRNA from 1 species